rnacentral:tRNA from 1 species
UAUUAUUAAGUGUAUGGCUCACAUAAAUUUUUGAAAUUUAUUAAAUAAGUUCAAUUCUUAUAAUAAUAA